UUGGGCAGGACUGAAAACUUUCCUCUCUCAGCGGACGCUUCUCUUCCACCCUAGCGAAGCCUCUCCGCCCGUCACCUCUAAGCCUGUUUGGAACGCGCCGCUCAGCUGCUGCGGGGGCACAAAUGGCUUCAGCAGGCAGCCGUGGCGGCCCGAAAGGCGGCCGGGGACUGUUCUAACUUGUUGCACAUCUCAGCGCCCUGGGGGAGCGGGGCUGGGGCUCAGGGCUCUGUGUACUGUAAGAAACAGCUUUGACCUGGAUUCUUCCUGUAAUCUGACCCUUCUUCAAUCAGCCCACCUGACUCCUGUGAAACCUUCCCCACUAUCCAGGACAGAACUGAAGGCUCAUUUUCCCACUGCACUGACAGGAACACUCCUGUAUUCUAGCAUUGUAUGGUAGUUGUUGGUUUA